rnacentral:rRNA from 1 species
CAGCAGCCGCGGGAAUACGUAGGGUGCGAGCGUUAAUCGGAAUUACUGGGCGUAAAGCGUGCGCAGGCGGUUUUGUAAGACAGGCGUGAAAUCCCCGGGCUCAACCUGGGAAUGGCGCUUGUGACUGCAAAGCUAGAGUGCGGCAGAGGGGGAUGGAAUUCCGCGUGUAGCAGUGAAAUGCGUAGAUAUGCGGAGGAACACCGAUGGCGAAGGCAAUCCCCUGGGCCUGCACUGACGCUCAUGCACGAAAGCGUGGGGAGCAAACAGGAUUAGAUACCCGCGUAGUCCCUGUCUCUUAUAU